AGGAUAAUAAUAAAGAGAACGCGGAAGAUAAAAAGAAAACACAUAAGCGGACACGAGGCAUAGUGUGAUUGACGAAGAUCAUAGCAGAUAAAAUUAAAGGAAUCAAACGCCAUUUGAGGUUCAAUAGCAGGGGGUAAUCGAUCGGGACCCCAAACAGAGAGCUUCAAUGUUAUUUAGGAAUGCAAGCCAAAAGUAUGGUGCCAAUUAACAUUGACAAUUGGCGCGAAGUUCCUAAAUCUAUAUUGGACAGCUUAUGGAAGGAUGUCAAUCUAGCUUUCCACCUAGAUGAGAAUAUGCGAAAAAAUAUUAUUGGCUCAGUGGGUAAUAAGUGGAGAUAAUUCAAAUGUAAUUUGAACAAGAAGUUUAUAGUCCCUUACCUUAAUGACCCAUCUCUUUUGGAAGCAAACCCUCGUGGUCUCCAUAAACCUCCACCAAGCUAUCAUAUAGAAGAAACACAUUGGAAAGAAUUUGUCAAGAGAAGGACAUCCAAAGAGUUUCAAGAUUUUAGAAAAUUACAACAAGAAAGGCGUAAUCAUUUACAAUACCCUCAUAGGACUUCACGCCAUAGCUAUACUGAAUUGGAAGCUGAUUUACAAGCUAAGUGGGGCACAACAGAGCAAAUAGAUCGAUCUAUACUCUGGAAGGAGGCCAGAAAAGAUUCUUCUGGCAACUAUGUCACCGAGCGUGACAAGGUCAAGGGAGAGGCCAUCGAAGACAUGCUUGAGCAAAGAAAAGAGGGCAAACUGAUUGAAAUCGGAACAAAUGACAUCCUAACACAAGUGUUAGGUACUGCUGAGCACCCUGGUUGAGUUCGAGGCUAGAGUCGAGGUGUCACACAAAGAGACUACUUUCAUAAGCCUGUUGGGGGGGGGGGGGGUCUAAGAGGCUUGCAGAAAAAACAAAUUGAGUUCGAACGACAAUCCAACAUACGACAUAGGGAAGAGAUUGAAAAGUUGAAAGAAUCGUUCAUGUCCAAGCUUGAAGAAUUAUCAACCAAGAUGGCACAUAUGAAAGCUAACUUUGAUAGUCAUUCUAGCUUUUGCAGCCAUUCUAGAGUCAAUACAAUAGAA